CCGCCUGCUCUCAUAUCUGUCCGUUUCCACUUCGCUGCUCUCCACCGGUCUCGGCGUGGUCUGUGGAUUCCGGAGAGCAAGGCAUGCGUCGGCUUCGUGCCGCAGGUAUCCUGGGGUCCUAUGGGGAGCGCUCUGCGGUGUGGGGCCGGGUAUGAUGACCCACAUUUACAGACUAGAGUUUCUGAUGUCCACGUGACGCCACCCCUUGUAACUGACCCAGCCCGGGGUCGGGGCUGCAGGCCGGGGACGCUCGGACCCGUGCUCACUCAGUGAUCUCUUCCAGGUUCCUGGCCCACGCCAGCCGGACCCAGUAGCAUAAUGGGGUUUGAGAACAUACGCUGGCUGCCUACGCUUGAAGAAAGGGUGAUCUCUAGAGACUGCGCAGGGGCCCCGUCCCCUCACCUAGAUGUCGGCUAACCUUGGGAUCCAGACAAAGGUGGAAUCCUAGAAGUGACCUGGAUGGCCUAAUGAUCUCACGUCUGAGAGCCAGCCCUGAAAAGGGCUUUGCUCCUACUCACACUGGCAAGUUGGAUGCCUUUUUACUGCAUUGCUGUCAGCUAUCUGAACAUGAGUGGCUGUAGGGUGUAAGCUAUGCAUGCUGGCUGCCCUACGCCCGCCCAGACUGAACCAGGACCUCACUUGAACAUGAGUAUUAGACAAUGUAAAAACUUACCUUGCCCAGACUUGAUAUAACAGCUUGGAAAUGCAUAGUUUCGUGAAAGAGCCUAAUAAAAUACUUUUUAAAGUA
ensembl:processed_transcript uncharacterized LOC115062509